rnacentral:lncRNA from 1 species
AACUUUUAAUUCCGUUAUUUAAAUACUAGCUGUUUCACAUUCCAAUGUGGAUAUAAGGACCUUCACUAGUUCAGUAUGCUCAAGUGGAUCAAACUGACAACAGAAAAACAUUGUCUUAAUGGCAAUUAGUAUAAUAGCAUCCGUAUAAUUUAAAAGCAACCGAGUCAUCAUCUACUUCUUAGAAUAUUAUAGUUCAGUGUAUCAAGACCGAGAUCAAGCUAAAGACAAGAGCUGUAGAAAUUAUUAAAAUGAUUUAAUAACAUUUGUCCAUGUAUCAGCAAAAUGACUUUCUUAGUGCUUAACAAUGCAAUGGCGGAUCCAGAACCUUUUAUCCUCACACUUUAUUCCUGGGGCAGUAUGAUUCUUUAAGAUUGACCUUUAAUUAACAAUGGGUCGUCCUAACACAGGCAAUGAUUACUAGUAUAUCAAGUAAAUGGCUUAAAACAAAAAUCUCAAAUGUCAUUGCCUCAAUGGUAAAUUACACAACAGCAACCUAAAUGUGUUACAGGGUUAUAAGCACCUCAGAUCAACAUUGUAUGAAUCUAGUUUAUAUAAACUUUGUAUUCCCGAGGUCAUACUACUAUUGUUAUGCCCCCACCAUAUUGAGUUUUAUCCUUGUUUUUUCUGUAAGUAUGUACGUCCCUUACUUGUACGUACGUCCAUACGUCCCAAAAUUGAUUUCUGUUCUCUUACUUAAGUUUGCCUGAACCAAAUUUUAUGAAACUUAUACGCAAUGCUUAUAACCACAAAACACCAUUGAAGUUUGAAUUUUUUUGGCGUCACUUUUACCAUUCUAGAUGUAAAAGGGGUAAAUUUUCAGUAUACCCUAUCAAGUAUAUAUAUACCCUUAUAUAUAAGUUUGACUUGUAGCUUUCUUCGGUUAUACAUUUUUCAGGUGAACAUAAAAAGGGUCUUUAGAUUUAGAAGUAUAGAUAUAUAAAAUAAGAAUGUGUCCAUAGUUAUGAUAGUACACAGAUGCCGAAUCCGCACUAUCAUUUUCUAUGUUCAGUGGACCGUGAAAAUGGAGAAAGACUCUAAUUUUGCAUUUAAAUUAGAAAGAUUAUAUCAUAGGAAACAUGUGUACUAAAUUUCAAGGUAAUUGGACCUCAACUUCAUCAGAACUACCCCGACCAAAAACUUUAAUCUGAAUGGGACAGACGAACGGACGCACAGACCAGAAAACAUAAUGCACAUAAAUGGGGCAUAAAAAGUGAUUUUUGGAAAUUACUGGCGAGACAGUGGUUUAGUUUGAAAAAUCAAAACUGUGAUUAAAUACAUAUUUGAAAUAAUGCACGUCUAUAACCUAUUUGAAAUAAUACACAUAUACAGUUGCAAACUUUCCAGAGGUGCUAUCCAGCACUUUGAUUUAGUA